GUGGAGUAGCCCUAGGACUUCUCAGCUCUGGGCACUUGUGGUGAGGCAAGGUUUUGUUUUACACCCACCUUUCUUAUUCCUUUUCUAUCCUGAAAAUCCACUCCACCUGCCUUUCCAGAGUAAAAGAACAGGGACAAGGACCCAUCCAAGGCUGACUUUGUGUAAAAACAGGUGACUGGAGGGAAAAUGCUUUUAAAACUUCACCUGUGUGCUAUGUAAAUUCAAGUCCUGCUGAUUGUAAGACAUUUGCACAUAGCAUAACAUUUUUAGAGAGACGUAUAUCUAAGGCCCACAUGUCCUGCACUAAAGAGUAACAAUGGAAGAAGACAAAAGUCUCCCAGAAACUUGAAAUUUCAUGCAUUACCCAGCCAUAGUGAAUCACAACCUAUAUGGGGCCAAGUAAGGAAUCAC
rnacentral:lncRNA from 1 species